UUAGCAUGGAAUAAUAAAAUAGGACGUGUGGUUCUAUUUUGUUGGUUUCUAGGACCGCCGUAAUGAUUAAUAGGGAUAGUCGGGGCAUCAGUAUUCAAUUGUCAGAGGUGAAAUUCUUGGAUUUAUUGAAGACUAACUACUGCGAAAGCAUUUGCCAAGGAUGUUUUCAUUAAUCAGUGAACGAAAGUUAGGGGAUCGAAGACGAUCAGAUACCGUCGUAGUCUUAACCAUAAACUAUGCCGACUAGGGAUCGGGCGAUGUUAUCUUUUUGACUCGCUCGGCACCUUACGAGAAAUCAAAGUUUUUGGGUUCUGGGGGGAGUAUGGUCGCAAGGCUGAAACAUAAAGAAAUUGACGGAAGGGCACCACCAGGAGUGGAGCCUGCGGCUUAAUUUGACUCAACACGGGGAAACUCACCAGGUCCAGACACAAUAAGGAUUGACAGAUUGAGAGCUCUUUCUUGAUUUUGUGGGUGGUGUUGCAUGGCCGUUCUUAGUUGGUGGAGUGAUUUGUCUGCUUAAUUGCGAUAACGAACGAGACCUUAACCUGCUAAAUAGCCCGGCUAGCUUUGGCUGGUCGCUGGCUUCUUAGAGGGACUAUCGGCUCAAGCCGAUGGAAGUUUGAGGCAAUAACAGGUCCGUGAUGCCCUUAGAUGUUCUGGGCCGCACGCGCGCUACACUGACAGAGCCAACGAGUUCAUCACCUUGGCCGAAAGGCCUGGGUAAUCUUGUUAAACUCUGUCGUGCUGGGGAUAGAGCAUUGCAAU
rnacentral:rRNA from 1 species